rnacentral:rRNA from 1 species
CCCUCUCAUCUUAAAAAGGGAGCUAGUUCUGCAAGCCUGAAUCUGAAUACGUCUUCGUGUCUAGCCGCCGGCGUUAUUACAAGAGUCGUCAAAGCGUGGUCUGUAAUCACUUGGGCGUAAAGGAUGCGUAGUUGGCGUGGUAAGUCUAGAAUGUGAAAGACCCCGGGGCUCAACCCUCCGGAAAUUGCAUCCGAUACUGCCAUGCCUUGAGUACUGAAGAGGUGACUAGAAUUCUAUGGUGUAGCAGUGAAAUGCGUAGAUAUCUAGAGGAAUACCAAAGGCGAAGGCAGGUCACUGGGCAGUUACUGACACUGAGGCACGAAGGCCAGGGGAGCGAACGGGAUUAGAUACCCCGGUAGUCCUGGCAGUAAACGGUGCACGUUUGGUAUGGGCGCAAUCGACCGCGCCCCGUGCCGGAGCUAACGCGUUAAACGUGCCGCCUGGGAAGUACGGUCGCAAGAUUAAAACUCAAAGAAAUUGACGGGGACCCGCACAAGCGGUGGAGUAUGUGGCUUAAUUCGAUGCAACGCGAAGAACCUUACCUGGUCUUGACAUGCAUUGUGUCUUUGGUGAAAGCCAGAUAGGGUAGCAAUACCCGCUUUGCACAGGUGCUGCAUGGCUGUCGUCAGCUCGUGUCGUGAGAUGUUGGGUUAAGCCCCGCAACGAGCGCAACCCCUGUGAUUUGUUGCCACCCGGUUUACCGGAGCACUCGAAUCAGACUGCCUAGAUCAACUAGGAGGAAGGUGGGGAUGACGUCAAGUCCGUAUGGCCCUUACGACCAGGGCUGCACACGUACUACAAUGCCCAGCACAAUGAGAUCCGAUACCGCGAGGUGGAGGAAAUCUAUAAAACUGGGCCCAGUUCAGAUUGGAGUCUGCAACUCGACUCCAUGAAGUUGGAAUCGCUAGUAAUGGCGCAUCAGCUACGGCGCCGUGAAUACGUUCCCGGGUCUUGUACACACCGCCCGUC